GAUGGAAUAGUAACUCUUAAGAGUGUUCUGCUCUAUCUCCGAGAGUUCCCCAGCAAGACAGAGCCCCAAUUGCUCAUCAUGAGCAGAUCCUCAAACACAGCCUGCAUCUCUCCCUGCUCCCCUCCCACCCUCCAGUUUUCCAGCCAGAGGCAUUUGCUCUAAGGCCCAGGCUGUGGCCCACCUAUCACCGCUACCCAAGUAGUACAGGAAAAGGAAAUUUGAAGAGGAAAAGAGGCACCAGGGAUGAGGACACACCGAGAAAAGACCAUGUGAAGACAUGGCGAGAAGACAGCCAGCUGCAAGCCAAGGAGUGAGGCCUCAGAAGAAACCAACCCUGCCGACACCUUGACCUUGGACUUCUAGUCUCUAGAAUUAUGCGAAAAUAAAUUCCUGUUGUUUAAGCCACCCACUCUGUAGUAUUUUGUUAUGGCAGCCCCAAGCAAACUAAUACAGUAUCCUUGAAGAAAGAAGAAUUAUAAAACCUAACAGUUAAGGGGCAGUUAAUUGACAUAUUAAUAAUUCAUUUAGUCUUCUCUUCACAGAAACUCUCUAUAGGAGUUAUUACCAUUUAUCACCAUUUUACAGAGGAGAAAACUGAGGCACAAGAGGUCAAGUAACCUGCUUCAAAGUCAUAACUAGUAAGUGACAGAGGCAGUUUCUUCACUCUCAGUCCUCUAAAAAGCAAAGCCCAAGGUUAAAGUGCUGACAUUUAGU
rnacentral:lncRNA from 10 species